GUACGGGUGCGGAACACGUGUGCACCUGCUUUUAUUCCUGGGGGGAUACCUUUAAAGGAGGAUUAAUACCCCAUAAUAUGUUGGAUGGCAUCAUUCGACAUUGAAAACUCCGGUGGAUAGAGAUGGGCACGCGCAAGAUUAGAUAGUUGGUGAGGUAACGGCUCACCAAGUCUACGAUCUUUAGGGGGCCUGAGAGGGUGAUCCCCCAACUGGUACUGAGACACGGACCAGACUCCUACGGGAGGCAGCAGUGGGGAAUAUUGGACAAUGGGUGGGAGCCUGAUCCAGCCAUCCCGCGUGGAGGACGACCGCCCUAUGGGUUGUAAACUUCUUUUGUAUCAGGGAUAAACCUACCCUCGUGAGGGUAGCUGAAGGUACUAUACGAAUAAGCACCGGCUAACUCCGUGCCAGCAGCCGCGGUAAUACGGAGGGUGCAAGCGUUAUCCGGAUUUAUUGGGUUUAAAGGGUCCGUAGGCGGAUCUGUAAGUCAGUGGUGAAAUCUCACAGCUUAACUGUGAAACUGCCAUUGAUACUGCAGGUCUUGAGUGUUGUGAAGUAGCUGGAAUAAGUAGUGUAGCGGUGAAAUGCAUAGAUUUUACU
rnacentral:rRNA from 1 species